rnacentral:sRNA from 1 species
UGCACACAGAGCAGGUACAGCACAAGCACUGGCAGGCUUCUCCACACUGUCCUGCUUAUGUCCCUCAACCCUGUUCUCGGUGUAUUCCAGGCUGCA